rnacentral:rRNA from 1 species
CGGGGGAGCAAGCGUUGUUCGGAUUUACUGGGCGUAAAGGGCGCGUAGGCGGCCAGCGCAAGUCAGUUGUGAAAUCUCCGGGCUUAACUCGGAACGGUCAACUGAUACUGCGCGGCUAGAGUGCAGAAGGGGCAACUGGAAUUCUCGGUGUAGCGGUGAAAUGCGUAGAUAUCGAGAGGAACACCUGCGGCGAAGGCGGGUUGCUGGGCUGACACUGACGCUGAUGCGCGAAAGCCAGGGGAGCGAACGGGAUUAGAUACCCCGGUAGUCCUGGCCUUAAACGAUGGAUGCUUGGUGUCUGGAGUUUUAUAGUCUCCGGGUGCCGUAGCUAACGCGUUAAGCAUCCCGCCUGGGGAGUACGGUCGCAAGACUG